ACCGACCCAUCCGCACUAAAGUCAUACAUAAUUCAUAACAAAUAUUAGAACGAUACAAUUUAUGAGCGCUUUCGCUCUAGCUCGUCGGAAAUAAAUUAGGAAUACAUAAUUGAAUGACUAGAUAAUAUUAUAAUGAACGCCGAGCAUCGGCUGGUUAACAAUAAACAGUUUCUUGCUCUAAUUACAUCUGGCGACAUGCGCGACCCAUUUCAUACACACAUGCAGGCGAGCGACGCCCCGCGAGUGUGCGUGCGCGCGCGCGUGUGAGUGCGGGUGAUAAGAGGUCGCGCGAUAACCCGGCCGAGGCCGCCGCCGCCCGCGCCGCCACGGCCCGCUGCCGGCUGGCGCUGCUGCGACUGCUCCUCCGACACGACACAACACGAGCGCUGACGCUUGUUUCCAUUUUCAAUUCCUCGCGCAAUUACAGCAAAGCUGGCGAUGGCGGGACGCUAGCGAUUACCACGAGAACACGCUGACAAUGCGCAAAAGAGUCAGUGUUGCGCAUUUGGCAGCGUGGACGGAAUACCAUCGUAUAAUCAACAUCAGGGUGUUUAGCGGCCAGUGGUUCGCUGGAGUCGUGGGGCUGGUGACUUCGUAUGUCACAUGUGGCUGCCACCGUCGCCGCGUCGUCCCGCGCGACACGUGCUUUCCACUUACCGAUGUUAUUUAAAAUAUGAGCGCUCGUUAUCGGUGAACAAAUAAUUCUAUAAAUAAUGUUCAAGGAAAACAAUGUAAUAUUUUAUGAAUGAGCGUGGCUAGAGCGCAUAGCGCGAUACGGUGGUGGCGCAUACUUGGAGCUUGUUACUGUAUUUUCACUAAUUCGAAUUUUAUAUGGCUUAGAGCAACAGCGCGGUAGGAAGGAAAGUGUUUCUCGCUGCUCUGCUAUAUAACGCAAACUUAGUAGUAAGGAAUGUGCUUCGAAUGUAGCAGCAGCGUUGAUAGGGGCUGAUUAGACUGAUAUGUAUCGGCUUAAAUAGGUGUUGUGUCCGCGAUUAGGUGAUAGAAGUUCACAGCCGGCGGCGCUGGCGUGCAGACGCCACGUCAGUCGCGGCGCGCGGCGCGGCGUGUCGCUCGCUAAAGCCGGACCACGUGGAGCCGCCGCCGCGCGCAGAAGUCUUGCUACUCACUACUUCCGAUACAGCAUCAACCCAACAACCUGUUCACAGUACACAUGGCUGUGUGGACCUUUUGCAUCGUCUGCCGGCCGGGCGCCCGGGCGGUGAGGUACCGCUCUGUCUGUGAGAAUGGUGUCACCAUGGCUGUCACUACUCUUAAGAAUCCAUUAAAUUACUGCGUUGGAAGAAUUUCUAAUUAGAAUAUGUUUAUUUUCAUGUUUGGCCAACGCUGCAAAUAACUAUCACGACGUAAAAUUUUUGAACAACCCAAUUACAUUUGAGUAAAUAUGAAUUUUACUCUAAAUCGAAUCAUCCAACACGUUGCUCGUAACUAGUUACCUGCCAAAAUAUUACUUCUAAUACGGACAGAGUAUUGCUUCCAUAAAUGCAUAACAGGUUUGGUUAAGUGAACCUGAGUUACGUAAAUUUUGUCUGUCAUCCAGAAUAUGCUACGUUUCUACUAGGAUUGAAAUAUGUGAGUUAGUAUGGUGUCUUUAAUAUCAAUAACACUUGCAUAGAUAAAUGAGAGAUCAUUUUUUCUGUAUUUUGUACACUAUAUAAAUAAGUGACAAAGAUAGAACAAAAAGAACUACCUAAUUGGAUGGUUGAACUAUAAAUGCAAUGAAGUUGCACAAUUUAAUAAAAAAUACUGUUUACGCUC